rnacentral:lncRNA from 1 species
GGACUGGUCACCGCUGCUAGGACGCCAACAGCUCUAGGCACCUCUACCUGGAAAGGCUACAAUGGUUAAAAAUAAAGAACAAGGCAGAAUUGCAGAAAAAUAUGGACAGGUAAAGAGGAGAAUUACCAUAACCAUAGGGGCAGCGGCAGUUGUUUUCACUUCAGCCUCCGGAACUACAACAGACAGUUCUGCCUGAUCCACAGGCUCUGAUGCAGACCGCUCCGCCCGAUCCUCAGCCGCUGGAGCGGCAGUAGAGUGCUCUGCCUCGGCAUCCUCAAAUAAGGCCAGUUUUGAGCUAGUCAACUCAGCC